rnacentral:rRNA from 1 species
GUCUUCUUGUUAUAUUUAGGAAGUCUGGCCUGCCCAGUGAAAUAAUUUAACGGCCGCGGUAUACUGACCGUGCAAAGGUAGCAUAAUCAUUAGUCUUUUAAUAGAGGGCUGGUAUGAAGGGUUUAACGAGGUGUUGACUGUCUCAUUUAAUUUGAAUAUUAGAAUUUAAUUUUUUAGUUAAAAAGCUAAAAUAUUGUUGGAAGACGAGAAGACCCUAUAGAGCUUUAUAUUUUUAUUAUUAAUUUAUCAUAGAUUAUUAUUAUUUAUUAUUAAUAAAAAGUAUUUUGUUGGGGUGACAAAAAUAUAUAAAUAACUUUUUUAUUUUAUUUACAUUGAUAUAUGAGUAUUAGAUCCAAUCUUAUUGAUUGUUAGAUUAAGUUACCUUAGGGAUAACAGCGUAAUCCCUCUCCAGAGUUCAUAUUUACAGAGGGGCUUGCGACCUCGAUGUUGGAUUAAGAUAAUAAUUAGGUGCAGCCGCUUAAUUAAUAGGUCUGUUCGACCUUUAAAUUCUU